AAGCCAGACUCCUACGGGAGGCAGCAGUGGGGGAUAUUGCACAAUGGGGGGGACCCUGAUGCAGCGACGCCGCGUGGGUGAAGAAGCGCCUCGGCGCGUAAAGCCCUGUCAGCAGGGAAGAAAAUGACGGUACCUGAAGAAGAAGCCCCGGCUAGCUACGUGCCAGCAGCCGCGGUAAUACGUAGGGGGCAAGCGUUAUCCGGAUUUACUGGGUGUAAAGGGGGCGCAGACGGCGAUGCAAGCCAGGAGUGAAAGCCCGGGGCCCAACCCCGGGACUGCUCUUGGAACUGCGUGGCUGGAGUGCAGGAGGGGCAGGCGGAAUUCCUGGUGUAGCGGUGAAAUGCGUAGAUAUCAGGAGGAACACCGGUGGCGAAGGCGGCCUGCUGGACUGCAACUGACGUUGAGGCCCGAAAGCGUGGGGAGCAAACAGGAUUAGAUACCCGAGUAAC
rnacentral:rRNA from 1 species